rnacentral:rRNA from 1 species
GAUGAACGCUGGCGGCGUGCCUAAUACAUGCAAGUCGAGCGAACAGAUAAGGAGCUUGCUCCUUUGACGUUAGCGGCGGACGGGUGAGUAACACGUGGGUAACCUACCUAUAAGACUGGAAUAACUCCGGGAAACCGGGGCUAAUGCCGGAUAACAUUUAGAACCGCAUGGUUCUAAAGUGAAAGAUGGUUUUGCUAUCACUUAUAGAUGGACCCGCGCCGUAUUAGCUAGUUGGUAAGGUAACGGCUUACCAAGGCAACGAUACGUAGCCGACCUGAGAGGGUGAUCGGCCACACUGGAACUGAGACACGGUCCAGACUCCUACGGGAGGCAGCAGUAGGGAAUCUUCCGCAAUGGGCGAAAGCCUGACGGAGCAACGCCGCGUGAGUGAUGAAGGUCUUCGGAUCGUAAAACUCUGUUAUUAGGGAAGAACAAAUGUGUAAGUAACUAUGCACGUCUUGACGGUACCUAAUCAGAAAGCCACGGCUAACUACGU